GCGAUGGUGCUGCGCGGCAUGAGCGCCGGCGCGCUGCUGGUGCGCGGCAUGCCGAAGGUGCUGAGGCUGCUGUCCAUCGUCGGCACCAUCGCG
rnacentral:tRNA from 1 species